GUCAGCUCGUGUCGUGAGAUGUUGGGUUAAGUCCCGCAACGAGCGCAACCCUUGAUUUUAGUUGCCAGCAUUUAGUUGGGCACUCUAAAGUGACUGCCGGUGCAAGCCGGAGGAAGGUGGGGAUGACGUCAAAUCAUCAUGCCCCUUAUGACCUGGGCUACACACGUGCUACAAUGGAUAGUACAAAGGGUCGCGAAGCCGCGAGGUGGAGCUAAUCCCAUAAAACUAUUCUCAGUUCGGAUUGUAGGCUGCAACUCGCCUACAUGAAGCCGGAAUCGCUAGUAAUCGUGGAUCAGCAUGCCACGGUGAAUACGUUCCCGGGCCUUGUACACACCGCCCGUCACACCACGAGAGUUUGUAACACCCGAAGUCGGUAGGGUAACCUUUAUGGAGCCAGCCGCCGAAGGUGGGACAGAUAAUUGGGGUGAAGUCGUAACAAGGUAGCCGUAUCGGAAGGUGCGGCUGGAUCACCUCCUUU
rnacentral:rRNA from 1 species